GACGAACGCUGGCGGCGUGCUUAACACAUGCAAGUCGAACGGAAAGGCCCUGCUUGCAGGGUACUCGAGUGGCGAACGGGUGAGUAACACGUGGGUGAUCUGCCCUGCACUUCGGGAUAAGCCUGGGAAACUGGGUCUAAUACCGGAUAGGAGCCAUUUUUAGUGUGAUGGUUGGAAAGUUUUUUCGGUGUAGGAUGAGCUCGCGGCCUAUCAGCUUGUUGGUGGGGUAAUGGCCUACCAAGGCGGCGACGGGUAGCCGGCCUGGGAGGGUGGACGGCCACAUUGGGAAUGAGAUACGGCCCAGACUCCUACGGGAGGCAGCAGUGGGGAAGAUUGCACAAUGGGCGCAAGCCUGAUGCAGCGACGCCGCGUGGGGGAUGACGGCCUUCGGGUUGGAAACUCGUUUCGCUAGGGACGAAGCUUUUUGUGACGGUACCUAGAGAAGAAGCACCGGCUAACUACGUG
rnacentral:rRNA from 1 species